rnacentral:rRNA from 1 species
UAGAGGAAGUAAAAGUCGUAACAAGGUUUCCGUAGGUGAACCUGCGGAAGGAUCAUUACAGAAAGUAAACGCGGAUCAAACCGCGAACUUCUAAACCUUUGACGAUCGACUCAUGUUGCCUCGGCGGGUGCUCCCGCCAGAGGAUACAUCAAAACUCAUGUUUUAACGGUGUUGUCUGAGCUACAAGCAACGAAUCAAAACUUUCAACAACGGAUCUCUUGGUUCUGGCAUCGAUGAAGAACGCAGCGAAAUGCGAUAAGUAGUGUGAAUUGCAGAAUUCAGUGAAUCAUCGAAUCUUUGAACGCACAUUGCGCCCCUUGGUAUCCCGAGGGGCAUGCCUGUUCGAGCGUCAUUUCACCACUCAAGCCUGGCUUGGUGUUGGGCGACGUCCCCUUUGGGGACGCGCUUCGAAACGCUCGGCGGCGUGGCAUCGGCUUUAAGCGUAGCAGAAUCUUUCGCUUUGAAAGUCGGGGCCCCGUCUGCCGGAAGACCUACUCGCAAGGUUGACCUCGGAUCAGGUAGGGAUACCCGCUGAACUUAAGCAUAUCAAUAAGCGGAGGAA